NUUACGCUGGCGGUGUNUNUAAUACAUGCANGUCGAACGCAACUUCGGUUGAGUGGCGGACGAGCGAGUAACACGUUGGAACCUACCUCGAACUCAGGGAUAACACCUAGAAAUAGGUGCUAAUACCGGAUAGUCCCGUAAGGGUAAAGAUUUAUCGGUUUGAGAGGGUCCUGCGCAAUAUCAGCUAGUUGGUAAGGUAACGGCUUACCAAGGCUAUGACGUUUAACUGGUCCGAGAGGAUGAUCAGUCGCGAUGGGACUGAGACACGGCCCAUACUCCUACGGGAGGCAGCAGUAAGGAAUCUUCCGCAAUGGACGAAAGUCUGACGGAGCAACACCGCGUGGUCGAUGACGCCUUUUGGGGUGUAAAGACCUUUUCUGAGUGAAAAAUUUUGACGGUAACUUAGGAAUAAGCACCGGCUAACUCCGUGCCACAGCCCGCGGUAAUACGGAGGGUGCANCGUUCCCGGAAUAUUGGCGUAAGCGUCNCAGCGGAUUUUANUAAAUGUNANUUUGCNCUNACUNAAUNUUUUNUAACUGCAACUAAUUUGAAAGUCUAAAUNUUU
rnacentral:rRNA from 1 species